UACGUAGGAUGCUAGCGUUGUCCGGAUUUACUGGGCGUAAAGCGCGCGCAGGCGGCACUGUAAGUCAGGUGUGAAAUAUCCCUGCUCAACGGGGAGGGUGCACUUUAGACUGCAGAGCUAGAGGACGGUAGAGGGGGGUGGAAUUGCUGGUGUAGCGGUGAAAUGCGUAGAGAUCGGAAAGAACACCAACGGCGAAAGCACUCUGCUGGGCCGACACUGACACUGAGAGACGAAAGCUAGGGGAGCGAAUGGG
rnacentral:rRNA from 1 species